GUAAACUGCUUUUGCUGGGGACGAUAAUGACGUACCCGGCGAAUCAGCCCCGGCUAACUCCGUGCCAGCAGCCGCGGUAAGACGAGGGGGCAAGCGUUGUCCGGACUCACUGGGCGUAAAGCGCGUGCCGGCGGUUGGGUGCGUCGGUGCUGAAAGCGCCCCGCUUAACGGGGCGAGGCGUGCCGAUACGACCUGACUUGAGGCAGGCAGAGGGUGGCGGAAGUCCGGGUGUAGUGGUGAAAUGCGUAGAGAUCCGGAGGAACGCCAGUGGCGCAAGCGGCCACCUGGGCCUGACCUGACGCUAGAACGCGACAGCGUGGGGAGCAAACCGGAUUAGAUACCCGGGUAGUCCACGCCGUAAACGAUGUCGGCUCGGUGGGUAGUUCCUGUUUAGGGAACCGCCUGCCUUAGCUCACGCGGUAAGCCGACCGCCUGGGGACUACGAGCGCAAGCUUA
rnacentral:rRNA from 1 species